rnacentral:lncRNA from 1 species
AUCUCCAGAGCUCUCUCUCUAUCUCCGACGCGAGAAACCCAUCUCCAUAGCUCUCUCUCGAUCUCGAGCUCUCUAUCUCCGACGCGAGAAAACGAUCUUCCAUCUCUCUCGAUCUCGAGCUCUCUAUCUCCGACGCGUCUCUAUCUCCGACGUGAGAAACCCAUCUCUUCCAUCUCUCUCGAUCUCCGACGAAACCCAUCUCCAGAGCUCUCUCUCUAUCUCCGACGCGAGAAACCCAUCUCUUCCAUCUCUCUCGAUCUCCGACGAAACCCAUCUCCAGAGCUCUCUCUCUAUCUCCGACGCGAGAAACCCAUCUCCAUAGCUCUCUCUCGAUCUCGAGCUCUCUCUCUCAAGCUAUCUCCGACGCGAGCUCUGUCUCUUCUCUCAAGCUCACUCUUCUCUCAAGCUCACUCUUCUCUCAAGCUCACUCUCUCCAGACCCUCUCAA